CCUACGGGUGGCAGCAGUGAGGAAUAUUGGUCAAUGGGCGCGAGCCUGAACCAGCCAAGUAGCGUGAAGGAUGACUGCCCUACGGGUUGUAAACUUCUUUUAUCAAGGAAUAAAGUGAGGCCCGUGUGCCCUUUUGUAUGUACUUUAUGAAUAAGGAUCGGCUAACUCCGUGCCAGCAGCCGCGGUAAUCCGGAGGAUCGGAGCGUUACCCGGAUUUAUUGGGUUUAAAGGGAGCGUAGGUGGGUUGUUAAGUCAGUUGUGAAAGUUUGCGGGUCAACCGUAAAAUUGCAAUUGAUACUGGCAGUCUUGAGUACAGUUGAGGUAGGCGGAAUGCGUGGUGUAGCGGUGAAAUGCUUAGAUAUCACGAAGAACUCCGAUUGCGAAGGCAGCUUACUAAACUGCCACUGACAUUGAUGCUCGAAAGUGUGGGUAUCAAACAGGAUUAGAUACCCCGGUAGUC
rnacentral:rRNA from 1 species